ACAUGGUAUACCUAGAUGAUCUACAUAGUCCUCCGUCAUCAGCCUGAGAGAUCCAUUCAUUUCCUUCCUCCUCUCCAACCUGCAGACCUCCCAGAGCUGAAUUGUUUCUUCUGCUGCCAGAUCGAUAGAAAGUUGGAGUGAAAAAAGAAAUGUAAGGAAACUACAACACCUGCAAUGAUGUUCUUUGAAAAGCAUGAAAGUCACAACAGGAGACUGAGAACAUGCCUCUUCCAACUGAGCUCUAAAUGUUCUGAGAGGCUCCUUCUUAGGUUGGACAGGAGAAAAGGAAUAUUUCCUAGAAGACAGACCUUUGAACUAAAAUCCCACAGAACAAGGGAGCCACCUGCUACAGAUACUCUGUGUAGAAGGGAUGGGGAAGGAGAAAACCCAGAAGAAUGACUACAAAGAAUAUGGAACGACACGGCUGCAAAUAAUGAAGAAGCUGCAAGAGUUCUGACUUCUUUCUUUUAAAAAAAAAAUCUCCUGGAAACAAGCACAUAAUAAAAGAACUGCUCCUUCAAAAGAGCUGCUGCUUCAAAAUACAAUGCAAACUAAAUUUCAGACAGGCUAAAAAUAGUUUUUCAGACUUGUGGGGAGAGGGGUGGUGGUGCAGAGGUAAUCACGAUCAGGAAAUCCUCAGGCCAGGCAAAAAGCAAAGAUAAUAAAAACAAAGAUGUGAAGAAAGCUAAGCUUGCUCUUUCUUCUUCGUUGCUUUGGUCUUUUUUUAAUUGUUCUUUAGGGAAAUGUGUAUGGGACAGUCCUCACCUGGGUCAAGUACCACAGAGCUUUCUGAGGCAGCAAAACAUGGUCUAAAGGUUGUGUGUGUGUGUGUGUGUGUGUUAAUGCUGCGCAAUGGGAAACUUCUUUCAUUUUACACACAUGCACACACACAAACCAUGUUUGAGGAACACGCUCUUUGCAAAUUCUAAUAAAAACUGACCUGAGAUGCAACCCCAAGGAGCAAGGGGCAGGUCAGAACUUAGUUCACCCUUCUCCAGCAGUGUUUUUGUCUUAACGUGUUUUUUUUAAAAAACCUGUUAAAAUGCACAUUUCAGGAUAAAGUAUAUUCAGAAAUACUGUGUGCAAUUAGUGAGAAAAUGUAAUUGUAAUUACGUACUUAAAUAUGGGCAGAUUUUUCUUUUUAAAAACAAAAACAAAAGAAACCACAAUAAAUUCACAGGUUAAUGUGGAAAUGUGUGUGUGUUUUAUUUGUUUUUACA